GGAAAUCACACCGGGAUACUAUGAUGAUGUCAUCACUGAUGGACUGAAGCCAGAUCGUGAGACAGAAGACAAACCUGAGAGCUAUGAUGAUGUCAUGACAGGCGGACACAACUCUGAUAUCAAAAAAGUGAACACACCAGAGAAUUAUGAU